rnacentral:rRNA from 1 species
AGGGUUUGAUCCUGGCUCAGAUUGAACGCUGGCGGCAGGCCUAACACAUGCAAGUCGAACGGUAACAUUUCUAGCUUGCUAGAAGAUGACGAGUGGCGGACGGGUGAGUAAUGCUUGGGAACUUGCCUUUGCGAGGGGGAUAACAGUUGGAAACGACUGCUAAUACCGCAUAAUGUCUUCGGACCAAACGGGGCUUCGGCUCCGGCGCAAAGAGAGGCCCAAGUGAGAUUAGCUAGUUGGUAAGGUAACGGCUUACCAAGGCGACGAUCUCUAGCUGUUCUGAGAGGAAGAUCAGCCACACUGGGACUGAGACACGGCCCAGACUCCUACGGGAGGCAGCAGUGGGGAAUAUUGCACAAUGGGGGAAACCCUGAUGCAGCCAUGCCGCGUGUGUGAAGAAGGCCUUCGGGUUGUAAAGCACUUUCAGUUGUGAGGAAAAGUUAGUAGUUAAUACCUGCUAGCCGUGACGUUAACAACAGAAGAAGCACCGGCUAACUCCGUGCCAGCAGCCGCGGUAAUACGGAGGGUGCGAGCGUUAAUCGGAAUUACUGGGCGUAAAGCGCACGCAGGCGGUUUGUUAAGCUAGAUGUGAAAGCCCCGGGCUCAACCUGGGAUGGUCAUUUAGAACUGG